GCUGCGUUGAACAAUGUCCCUCUUUCCAACUCACUUAACUGGAGCCGGUCAAGAGAACAAGAUGUUCUUUUGCGGUUGACCUAAUUUCAGUGGCUCUGAGCUUAAGAGAGUCCAGACAGAGAGAUGUUCAUGUCGCUAUGGACGUCAACUCGGUCCCCUUCGCUGAAGCUUCUGGUUAUGUGCAGGAGACCUCAACAGGGGCACCUGAAGAGACAUCUGCCAAGGAGAAGUCAGAUGAAAGAGACUCUUGCGCUCAUGACUUACAUACUCGUAGUUGAGCUUGGCCCUCAGCGCUCACCUUCUCAUCUUGCCUGCUAUGGCCUGGGGUCUGAACACCAAAGAUGUGACAGGCUUCCAAACCAUGGCAGCUGGUUUCUGCCCAGGAAGGGCAUGUUCCUUUCUGCUGUCCCAUCUCCACACAGACAAGCACACAAACACACACACACACAGUCUCACACAAACACACUCUUACAUACACAAACAGGCACACACACAAUGAGCCUGAAGGAGGUUCGAGCCCCCUCAGCUGAGAUUACAGUGUGACCUGCUCUCCAGUGGCUUCCCCAGGUGCCUUGUAGUACCUGUUGAGGUUUCCCGCAUAUAACCAGAAGCUUCGGUGAAGAGGGCCGAGCUGACGUCCAUAGCGACAUGAACAUCUCUCUGUCUGGACUCUCUUUUGCCCAGAGCCACUGAAAGUAGGGCAACAGCAACAGAACAUCUUGUUCUCUAGUUAAGUGCGCUGGAAAGAAGGACAUUCUUCAAUGCAGCAUCCUGGUUACCAGAGUUCUAAAUCCACUACACUCUUGUCUCCAAGGAAGUGACAUCACUUUUUCAAGAUUCCAGCCCUUGGGCCCCUCCCUUCAUUCAGACCUAUCCAGACCCCCUUCUUGGCAGAUGACUGCUUACCCCAUGCCAUCUCCUUAACUGUACAUCAGGAGUCAAAAAUGCCAUAGCCACAACUCUCUGAAAAUUCCCCAGGUUCCCACCCUGCACGGUGAUAGAAGAGGCAGAAUCUCCUACCUUGGGACAUCAUCAGGGGUCUAUUGAUGAUCUUUGUAAUGCACGUGAGCUGGUGCCCUGUGUAUCUGAGGCGCAAUUUUAAGGAUGGUGCAUUGACAUGUGGAGGAACACUCCGACAUGAAGCCCUCCUAAUGGAAAUCAAGAGAUCUAUGUGAUCCUGGGCUGACAGUCGCUCUCCAGCGACAACCUUGUAGUCUCCCAACCUGCUCUGUGGAGGCAUCAAGGUUCUCCUUGUGGAUCCAAAGACCAAUCCGAGGUUUACUUGAUAUUUUACAAACACUUUUAAGGAAGUUUUUAAAUUCUUGGAGAGAGGGAAAGAGAAUAAGCAGGGUGAGCUGCAGGGGGAGAGGGCGAAGCAGGCUCCCCAGUGUGCUGGGAGUCCAAUGGAGGUCUCAAAGCAAGGUCCAAGGAAUCAUGGCCUAACCAGAAAGCAGGAGCCUCACUGACUGAGCCACCCAGUGCCCUUCCUUGAUCUUAUCUUCCAUCCGAGUGGUCGAAAUGUGGGUGGAUCCAUUCAUCCCAUGCGGCGGCCAUGAGUUCCUUCAAUAAUUUGGCUUUUGUGGACAUUGCUGCUAUAAACAUCGGAGUGCAUGUGUCCUAGCAUUUCCUUGCAUCUGUAUCUUGGGAAAAUCCCCAGCAGUGCAAUUGCUGGGUCAUAGGGCAGAUCUAUUUUUACUCUUUGUGGAACCUUCAUACUGUUUUCCAGAGUGGCUACACCAAUUCACAU